UCGAGUUUUGAACGGGUUGUUGCUGGCCUCAUACGGGGCAUGUGCACGCCUGACUAUCAUCCACUCUUCAACCUCUGUGCACUUAUUGUAGGCUAGCGUGAAAGGUCGCAUUCAUUUGCGGCUGGAAGCCCUGUCUACGUUUUUACUACAAACGCUUCAGUUAUAGAAUGUUUAUCUGCGUAUAACGCAUUUAUAUA
rnacentral:misc_RNA from 1 species